AUGAAUCAAUUCGGUCUUCUGUGCUGGUGGCAACACAUGUGCACGUCGAUCGUAAUUCCAUCCUCCUCCUAACCGUCCAUGUGUGUGUUUGGUCGACCUCUGGUCGAAGAGUUGUGGCCCCUGGCCUCGAUUCGUUCCAGGUGCACCUUGGUUAUUUCACCCACUCUGGGUAUCAGAAACAAAGAACAUCGUAUAUAAACUAUA
rnacentral:misc_RNA from 1 species